rnacentral:rRNA from 1 species
GAUGAACGCUGGCGGCGUGCUUAACACAUGCAAGUCGAACGGAAAGGCCCAAGCUUGCUUGGGUACUCGAGUGGCGAACGGGUGAGUAACACGUGGGUGAUCUGCCCUGCACUUCGGGAUAAGCCUGGGAAACUGGGUCUAAUACCGGAUAGGACCACUUCUUGGAUGUUGUGGUGGAAAGAUUUUUCGGUGUGGGAUGUGCUCGCGGCCUAUCAGCUUGUUGGUGGGGUAAUGGCCUACCAAGGCGUCGACGGGUAGCCGGCCCGGGAGGGUGUACGGGCACAAUGGGGAUGAGAUACGGCCCAGACGCCUACGGGGGGGAGGAGGGGGGAAUAUUGCACAAAGGGCGCGAGCCUGAUGCAGCGAAGCCGCGGGGCGGAUGACGGGCUUCGGGUUGUAAAAUCCUUUCGCUAGGGACGAAGCGGUUUGUGACGGUACCUGGUGAAGAAGCACCGGCUAACUACGUG